rnacentral:snoRNA from 2 species
GGCCUCACAUGAUGGAGAAAUGACUUUGGGAGGACAGUGACCAAAUUGGGUCGUAUUCGUACUGUCUGAUGGGGUC